rnacentral:rRNA from 1 species
GACGUAGGGCGCGAGCGUUGUCCGGAUUUAUUGGGCGUAAAGAGCGUGUAGGCGGUUCGGUAAGUCGGCUGUGAAAGUCCAGGGCUCAACCCUGGGAUGCCGGUCGAUACUGCCGGACUAGAGUUCGGAAGAGGCGAGUGGAAUUCCCGGUGUAGCGGCGAAAUGCGCAGAUAUCGGGAGGAACACCUAUGGCGAAGGCAGCUCGCUGGGACGUUACUGACGCUGAGACGCGAAAGCGUGGGGAGCAAACAGG